rnacentral:rRNA from 1 species
UGGUGGGUUGCCUUGUCAGGUUGAUUCCGGUAACGAACGAGACCUCAGCCUGCUAAAUAGUCGGCGUUCCUUUUGGAUCGCUUCGACUUCUUAGAGGGACUAUUGUCGUUUAGGCAAUGGAAGUGUGAGGCAAUAACA